rnacentral:tRNA from 1 species
GCUGUAGCUCAGUGGUAGAGCACUUGCCUAGCACAUGUGAGGCACUGGGCAAUCCUCCAUAUCAUAUUAAAAAUAAAUAAAAUAAAAGUAUUAUGUCCAUCUACAACUAUAAAUAAAUAAAUAAGCAAACAAAUAAAUAAAUAAAUAAGAAAAGAGGGUUAGAGAUGUAGCUCACUGGGAAAAUACCCCAGGGUUCAAUCCCCAGUAGCA